rnacentral:rRNA from 1 species
UACGUAGGGCGCAAGCGUUGUCCGGAAUUAUUGGGCGUAAAGAGCUCGUAGGCGGUCUGUCGCGUCGGCUGUGAAAACCCGAGGCUCAACCUCGGGCCUGCAGUCGAUACGGGCAGACUAGAGUGCUGUAGGGGAGACUGGAAUUCCUGGUGUAGCGGUGAAAUGCGCAGAUAUCGUAAGGAAGACCAGUGGCGAAGGCGGGUCUCUGGACAGUUCCUGACACUGAGACACGAAGGCCAGGGGAGCAAACGGG